GACGAAGGGGGCUAGCGUUGUUCGGAAUUACUGGGCGUAAAGCGAGUGUAGGUGGUUGUCCAAGUUGGAUGUGAAAGCCUUGAGCUCAACUCAAGAAAUGCAUUCAGGACUGGAUGACUAGAGGACCGGAGAGGAUAGUGGAAUUCCCAGUGUAGUGGUGAAAUACGUAGAGAUUGGGAAGAACACCAGUGGCGAAGGCGGCUAUCUGGACGGUUUCUGACACUAAGACUCGAAAAGCGUGGGGAGCAAACAGG
rnacentral:rRNA from 1 species